AACAUAAUAGUAGUACAAUCAGUACUAAAUAUUUUAAGUUUCAUCACCAAUAGUAACAUCCAGAAUCGAUAUGCUAAGUACGGCCAGAAUCGAUAUGAUAGGUACGGCAUUGACUUAAUUAACUACAAGGUUGAGGCUACAUAACUAGAUGAUUCUCAGAAGUACAAAAUUCAGAGAAGAAAAUAUUGAGGCUUCGACUUCAAUCUUGUACCGCCCAAAAUAAAAACAUGUGGUUGCCUCGAAUCGAAAUAAAGGAACCUGCAGAUAAACAUAAAAAAAACAGUCAGAAUGAACAUACAAAUUAUGAAAUAAUAUAGCUAUUUUGUGUGUAUGAUAACUACCUUUAUUAUUGUUGAUUCUUUUGGGGGCAACUACGACUGUCAUGGAAGCCAACCUGGUUACAUGUCCUGCAGGUGCGAGGCUUUUUCGGUCCUCCCACAUUUUUCUUCCCCUCUCCAUUCUUAUUUCUCUUCCCUUCUCCAUCCCCUUUUUAAUUUGGGAACUCAUCCCAUAUUUUUUGUUUUUGGAAUUUACCCUACUGCUCUCAAGUAGGAUUUACAAGUCCAGUUUACAUAUUCUACUGCCGGCAACUGAUGUACAUGCUACAGUACACCGACGAAGAUGCAAACAAGAAAGACCAAACCAGAUACUUCAAAAGUACAACUGAAGAAAGACAACUGUGACAUUCAGGUUAACAUGAUUCAGGUAGUGCUUGUUCUACCAUCAGGUGGAGGGAUAUGAGGAUGUUGUGGCAAUAAGACCGACCCCAUAUUAGUACAAUCAGUAACCGAAGCAGCUGUUGCUUACCUGUGCAGGGCUAAGACGAGGUUGAGGCAUGGCACAGUACGAGGAGGAGCGAGGUCCUGGAGAGGCGGCACCGAUGCGUCGACAGGGAACAUGGCCGGCGGAGGGAGAUAGUUCACGGCCAGCGGAGGGCCCCUCGUGGCCGGCGGAGGACGCAUCGUGGCUGGCGUGGGGCUCUUCGUGGCCGGCGGAGGGAGUAGUUCACGGUCGACGGAGGGCCCGUCGUGGCCGGCGUAGGGCAAGUCUCCAUUUUGCCGACGAGAUUGAAAGACGAAUCGAUCGUAGUCGAAACGUAAGGACCUGGUGCGUAAAUGAAAGGGUUAUUUGCUAAUUAGUGUUUAAGUGGCUGGUGGGAUACGACCUAAGAUCUAUGCCGCUCUUUAUUGAUCUGAUGACUCACGAGGUGAGUUUCCAGAUUUUCACUGAAUCAGCGUUUUCACUUGAUACUUCGCCAUCAUACAUAUCUGAUAUAGAUAAUUAAUACACACACACACAACCAGCAUCUAGAGACUGGCCUCUGAAAUGUGCAGAGUACUUCCCCGCCGCUCAUUAACAAGCUUUAGAAUUAUUGGUACAUGCUUUAAUGAAGGAAAUAGCCUAAAGCAAAUUGUAAGGUAUCUACGGCAAAAACGAAGCUGUACAUGACUUACAAUAUCCAUCGAUGCAAAAUGGUUGCUAGAACUGAAGCCUGAAGUACAAAAUGCAGAUAAGUUACAUGAUAGAAAUGCAUAAACUUGGACCCUGGACCACUAACUGUCUACCAAGCUAAUUUGCCAUAUAUCAUCCAUGGGUGGAUGGAUCUGAAACAGAACAUGGCACAGCUCAAAGCAGAGGAGAGGAGGGCAGAGGUAGGGGUGGGGCCUGAGAAGAAGUCACCGGGGAAGGAGGGAGGCUCCAUGGGGCCUCUGCGUCGUGGGGAGAAGGAGCUCCAUCUCCAUGGCAGCGGCCUGCCCCACGGAUGUGCGCCACUCCUGUCGUCGUCACUGUCUGCGCCAUGGCGAC
rnacentral:lncRNA from 1 species